rnacentral:rRNA from 1 species
AUUGAACGCUGGCGGCAUGCCUUACACAUGCAAGUCGAACGCGAAAGCGGGGGCAACUCCGCAAGUAGAGUGGCGAACGGGUGAGUAAUGCAUCGGAACGUGCCCAGUCGUGGGGGAUAACCAGUCGAAAGACUGGCUAAUACCGCAUGAGACCUGAGGGUGAAAGCAGGGGAUCCGCAAGGACCUUGCGCGACUGGAGCGGCCGAUGCCGGAUUAGCUAGUUGGUGGGGUAAAAGCCCACCAAGGCGACGAUCCGUAGCUGGUCUGAGAGGACGAUCAGCCACACUGGAACUGAGACACGGUCCAGACUCCUACGGGAGGCAGCAGUGGGGAAUUUUGGACAAUGGGCGCAAGCCUGAUCCAGCCAUGCCGCGUGAGUGAAGAAGGCCUCGGUGUAAGCUCUUAGUCCGGGUACGAAAGUACG